CAAAAAUGCAGACCAACCGAUGAACUCUAAUGAUCAUAGCCUAUUUUUACCAUUGUGAACUCGAAUAUUUUUGUAUUCAGUUAAUGAUCUGCAUGCCUCAAUCAGACUGUCUCUGAAAUGCUCAUUCUUGUUCUGCAGGUUUUUUGAAGCAUUCAAAUUAUUUGAAUUGAAUGGUUUAAGGAGCAAAAUGUCUCCCAACACUGCUGUAUGUGGUGACAAAAUAUUCUUGGUCCUUGAUGAGUACAUACCAGUAGGCACGUGUUCCUUUAUAUUUGGACACCAUUGCUUCUGUCAAUCUUACUAGUGGGACUUUGGGAACCUCUCUGACUCAAGUCCUGGUUGGUCAACUGCUAAAAGUUGAACUGAUUCCUGGAAAAGCAUUGGCUCCUUAGCUGGCUCUUGCCUAAUCUUUCAACUUUCAUGUCAUCCUUCCUCAAACACAUGCCACCUCACUGCUCUGUAAUGACCACUAUAAACACUGUUUUGACAGUCAAAGGGUAGUGCUUAAGAAAAGGAGAAGAUAAGAAGAAAUAACUGAAGUAUCUUUCAGUUAUCUCUUACUGGUACUACAACAACAGAUAUAUGUUAAGGAGUGCAUAUGGGUCUUAGGCCUCAUUAACACAUGGUUCAGUUUAAUACAUUCAAUAUUUAAUCUCUGUCACACAUGUAGGUUGAUAGGGAAGGCAUAAGAAACCAAGCAAUGAUUAUCUUCACUAUUAUUUCCUGCAGCAACACACAGAGAUGUGUGUGACUGGUACUCAUUAUGUGAUUAUUUUCCGUUGUUGCACUUAAGUGCUAACAUUUUAGCAUAUAGAAGUUGUUCAUUGCAACUGUGAACCAUAUAGUUGACUUUGUCAAAGGUCACAAUGUGCAACUUCUUGGUUUCGUGAUUUCUAAAACACCUUUUUAUCGGUUCCUGGUAUGCCCUUAAAAGGUUACAGAGGUCUCUUUUUGCAGUUUCUAUUCAAAUCGAGAACAUGCAGGGGCCCAAUGGGUGCUGGUUUUGCACCUCUGACAGAGAGAUCGAGACUGUUGAGCCUCUUCCUGUGGUUUCGGAGCAUGUGGUAGAGAGUGUGUUAAAAGCGAGGCAAACUCUCGCUUCAGCCCUCAGUUUCUUCCGGGACCCAGACGAGAAUGAUGAUAUCGACAGUCUACUAAAUGUAAUACCACAUCCUUCCUGAGAGUGGUAACAGGAAGCAGUACUGAGUGGCGCGCGUUGGACACACAAAAGAAAAAAGAAACCUGGACAACAGAAGUACAGUGUAGUCAACCAUAAAGUAGAAAGCACUAUUAAACUAUUCUACACAGUGUAGUGUUUCCUACUUUAUGGAUGACUGCACUGUUGGCUACAAUGACAAGUUAUGGAUCAACCUACGUCAACAGAAGACACACUACGUCUAGCUCUCAUGUCCUCCUCCUCUGCUUGACCUCAAUAAACAGAAAUGAGACAUGCA
rnacentral:lncRNA from 1 species